rnacentral:misc_RNA from 1 species
GAUGAAGAACGCAGCGAAAUGCGAUACUUGGUGUGAAUUGCAGAAUCCCGUGAACCAUCGAGUCUUUGAACGCAAGUUGCGCCCGAAGCCAUUAGGCCGAGGGCACGCCUGCCUGGGUGUCACACACCGUUACCCUCGCGCCAACGUCCAUCGUUGGCCGCGGCGCGGGGCGUGCGCUGACCUCCCGCGAGCGGGGUCUCGUGGUUGGUUGAAAAUCGAGUUCGCGGUCGAGGGUGCCGUGAUGAAAUGGUGGAUGGGCGACGCCCGAGGCCAAUCACGCGCGACUCUGUCCGGCUCGGACUCCUGGACCCCUUCGGCGUCUCCGGACGCUCUUUGGCGAGACUUCAGGUCAGGCGGGGCUACCCGCUGAGUUUAAGCAUAUCAGCGGAGGA